CAGCAAGUUAAUUCAGCGACAGCAGGGUAAUACAGCGACAGCAGGUUACUACAGCGACAGCAGGUUAAUACAGCGACAGCAGGUUAAUUCAGUGACAGCAGGUUAAUACAGCGACAGCAUGUUAAUACAGUGACAGCAGGUUAAUACAGCGGCAGCAGGUUAAUACAGUGACAGCAGGUUAAUACAGUGACAGCAGGUUAAUACAGCAUGUUAAUACAGUGACAUCAGGUUAAUACAGCAUGUUAAUACAGUGACAUCAGGUUAAUACAGCAUGUUAAUACAGUGACAGCAGGUUAAUACAGCAUGUUAAUACAGUGACAGCAGGUUAAUACAGCAUGUUAAUACAGUGACAGCAGGUUAAUACAGCAUGUUAAUACAGUGACAGCAGGUUAAUACAGCAUGUUAAUACAGCGACAGCAUGUUAAUACAGUGACAGCAUGUUAAUACAGUGACAGCAAGUUAAUACAGCAGGUUAAUACAGCGAUAGCAGAUUAAUACAGCGACAGCAUGUUAAUACAGUAGACCAUUUGCUCCAUGUCCUAGUCAUAUUUUAUCUUAACGAGAGGGCUGCUGCCACAGCUUAGUGCCUCUGCACAGAAACAGACAGAAAGAAAUAGAAAGAGAGAGCAGGAGAGAGAGCGAGGUAAUACAGACAGAAUGACAUGGGGGAGGAGAGGUAAUACAGACAGAAUGACAUGGGGGAGGAGAG
rnacentral:lncRNA from 1 species